CAUAGAGAAAACUUGCCUGGAGGAUACAUAGUACCUGAUGUUGCCACACUUGUCAGGAGACUGCAUGGACAAUUAAACCGGAGGAUCACAGAGCUCACUGAUGCUUGCCCUGAAUUGAUGCUUGCCACCAUGUGUGACCCCCGAAUUAAGGGCAAAAUGGCACUCCAAGCCAAUUCCCUAACAGGCUGGAGAGAGAAAUUAAUCAACAGGGUGUGUGACAGGCAAAGACACUUGGUUGUGCCGUCAGAGAGGGAUGAUGAGGAUGAUGAAGAAGAAGAGGAGGAUGAGCCUGCUAUGUCAUCAUCAUCAUCCAUCACAAACACUGCUGGACAUUCAUCAAGAGCUGCUGACUUUUGGGCAGAAACUUUGCAAACCUUGGUCGGACACACCAGACAACCCUCAAGGAUACCCAGAGAUAAGGUUGCAGAGACUGUAAAAAGUUAUUUGUCUGAACCCCAUCUGGCACCUACAGCGGAUAGUCUCAAGUACUGGGAUGAAAGGAGGGCAAUUUGGCCUGCUCUCUCCAUGGUGGCCCAGGAGCUCCUAUCCUGCCCCCCAACCUCUGUGCAAAGUGAACGGGUAUUUUCAGUCACUGGCAAUAUUCUCUGCCCACAGCGUUCACAGCUGGCCCCUCAGCUCAUGGAGCAGAUGACUUUUCUUAAAGUAAACAUGCCCAAGCUGGGAUACCCUGCCCUAAGCUUUGACACCAAUUAGUUAUGAGUUCUACAGUUCAAGUUAAAAGUUGAAGUUCUUGGUUACAAGUUGGAAUGUUGGAUCCCGUUGUGUUAUCAGUUGUUUGAAAAAGUUAAGAAAGUGAACAGCACCAUCAAACAGGAUUUAGUGGACAUUUAGUGGACAUUUUUGUGGAUACAACAAGGACGUCCAUUUAUGUGGUAAAGGAGAUCAGCAAAUCAGUGGAAGGAUUUGGCACCAUUUUGUAUGAGGUUACAAUAUACAAGUCAACAUGAAACUUUGGUAAUAGAAUACAGAGGUAAUACAAUAAACCUAAACAUUGCCAACAUUUCUAACAUAACAAAACUGUCAACCAGCCUAAAAAUAAUGAUUCUUUAAUCUUUUAGGUUUGUGAAGGUGCCCCAUUGUUGCUGCUGCUGGUGUCAGCCAAUGGAGGUGAUUGGCUGAUUCUUGAUAUUGCCGUCAGGAGGUCCACCCUUAGCUGUGCUGUGGCCUGAAGGUGCUGCUGGCUGACCCGGGCCAACAUCACUUGGAUGUCGUCAGCCUGCCGUCGGUGAAGUUGGUGCAUGGUCCUAUUCAAGCGUCGCAUCUCCCGUGCAAGGUGCCUCGUCUCCCUGGACAACCUGUCCCUUUCUUGGAGUACCCUAAGAUCUCUCUGCCUCGGAUGUCUGAGCCUCUGGCAGGAGGUGCUUCUUCAACUCCAGCUCCCAGUUCUUGAAGUUGAUGUUCCUCCUCUGCUGCUGCUUUUUUAUUUUUUUGAGGACUGAUGCCCUGCAGUCAUAG